rnacentral:rRNA from 1 species
GGCCCAGACUCCUACGGGAGGCAGCAGUGGGGAAUCUUGCGCAAUGGGCGAAAGCCUGACGCAGCGACGCCGCGUGAGGGAAGAAGGCUUUCGGGUUGUAAACCUCUUUCAGAAGGGACGAAGCCACUCAGGUUAAUAGCCGAGAGGGUGACGGUACCUUCAGAAGAAGCCCCGGCUAACUACGUGCCAGCAGCCGCGGUAAUAUGUAGGGGGCAAGCGUUGUCCGGAUUUAUUGGGCGUAAAGAGCGUGUAGGCGGUUAGGUAGGUCCGUUGUGAAAACUCGAGGCUCAACCUCGAGACGCCGGCGGAAGCCAUCUAGCUAGAGUCCGGAAGAGGAGACUGGAAUUCCUGGUGUAGCGGUGAAAUGCGCAGAUAUCAGGAGGAACACCCGUGGCGAAAGCGGGUCUCUGGGACGGUACUGACGCUGAGACGCGAAAGCGUGGGGAGCGAACAGGAUUAGAUA